rnacentral:rRNA from 1 species
UGAAUACGAGACGCUACGGCGUCGAAGCAGUCUAUGUCAUACUUCCAAGAAAAGCUUGCACUGUCAUAAACAAAUAAUGCCUGUACCAUAACCGACACAGGUGGGUAGGUAGAGUAUACUAAGGGGCGCGAGAUAACUCUCUCUAAGGAACUCGGCAAAAUGACUCCGUGACUUCGGGAGAAGGAGUGCCUUAUUUAUAAGGUUGCAAUAACAAGAUCCAAGCAACUGUUUAUCAAAAACACAGGUCUCCGCUAAGUCGUAAGACGAUGUAUGGGGGCUGACGCCUGCCCAGUGCCAGAAGGUUAAAGAAGUUGGUUAGCAUUAGCGAAGCUGAUAACUGAAGCCCUGGUGAACGGCGGCCGUAACAAUAACGGUCCUAAGGUAGCGAAAUUCCUUGUCGGGCAAGUUCCGACCCGCACGAAAGGCGUAAUGAUUUGGAUACUGUCUCGGUGAGGGGCUCGGUGAAAUAGACUUGUCUGUGAAGAUGCGGACUACCUGCACCUGGACAGAAAGACCCUAUGAAGCUUUACUGUAACCUGAAAUUGAAAUUGGACUUUAUUUGCGCAGUAUAGGUGGGAGGCGUUGAGAAUAUUCUUGCGGGAAUAUUGGAGCCAUCAGUGAGAUACCACUCUUGUAAUGUUAGAUUUCUAACUUUGAAUCAUUAUCUGGUCAAAGAACAGUUUCAGGCGGGCAGUUUGACUGGGGCGGUCGCCUCCUAAAUGGUAACGGAGGCGCACAAAGGUUUCCUCUGAACGGGUAGAAAUCGUAUCUAGAGUGUAAAGGCAUAAGGAAGCUUGACUGUGAGACCUACAAGUCGAGCAGGGACGAAAGUCGGUCUUAGUGAUCUGACGGUGCUGAGUGGAAAGGCCGUCACUCAACGGAUAAAAGUUACUCUAGGAUAACAGGCUGAUCUCCCCCAAGAGUUCACAUCGACGGGGAGGUUUGGCACCUCGAUGCCGGUUCAUCGCAUCCUGGGGCGGUAGUACGUCCCAAGGGUUGGGCUGUUCGCCCAUGAAAGCGGUACGCGAGCUGGGUUCAGAACGUCGUGAGACAGUUCGGUCCAUAUCCGGUGUAGGCGUUAGAAUAUUGAGAGGAGCCUUCUUUAGUACGAGAGGACCGAGAAGGACAUACCUCUGGUGUACCAGUUAUCGUGCCAACGGUAAACGCUGGGUAGCUAUGUAUGGAGAGGAUAACCGCUGAAAGCAUCUAAGUGGGAAGCCCACCUCAAGAUAAGUAUUC